rnacentral:lncRNA from 1 species
GUGUUUUUAAGUGAAAAAUCAAUAGUAGUCUGGCAUGCCAGAGUUCAAAGAUGACAAGGAUGACAGGGAGAAUACAUAUGUGGAAGCAGGAUCAUCAGGACUGUCAACUGCCACUUCAGUGUCUGACAGACAGAAGAGGUCCACCCUUUUCAUCAAGGUCAGUCAAGUCAAUCAAGGGAGAAGAACGGAAAAACUGCAUAGCGAUUAGCAGAAGACGGUAUUAAGUGAUUGAUGGCAGAACUCCCAAAGGAUGCAUCAGGAGGAAACAGAUAAUGAUACGUUACUGCACGUUUGUUGAUUAUUUACUUGUACCACAUAUAAGACAACUAUAUAAAGGGUGAAUGAUUUCAUUACUCUUUGUAAUUAGAAUUUUACAGUUGUUCCUAGCUUGAUUUCUUCAUAGAACAUUCAUAAGGACAUUUUGGCAAAUUCAACCUACAGGGACAGAAAUUGAGCCUUAAUUUCAGCUUUAAUAGGGAUCAAUGAAAG